GGAUGUGAGGGCGAUCUGGCUGUGACAUCUGUCACAAUAAUUGCCAGGGUUGAUUAGACUGAUCUGCCUGGCUAGGCACGUGUCCCCUUCCUCCCUCACGGCUCCAAGUACAUCCAUCCCGAAGCUGAAGACUUGGUUGAAGAGGACGGCCUUCCUGGAAGAGACCGGUAAUAAUGGAGAGAGGGAUUUAUUAGAGGUCUAGGCCCAUCAAGUCUGAUUGGAAAUCUCUGGACUCCCCGAAUAGGGCCCCAGCUGAUGGGUUGUCCUGAU
rnacentral:snRNA from 1 species